rnacentral:rRNA from 1 species
CCUACGGGAGGCAGCAGUAGGGAAUAUUGCUCAAUGGGGGAAACCCUGAAGCAGCAACGCCGCGUGGAGGAUGAAGGUUUUAGGAUUGUAAACCCCUUUUGUUAGAGAAGAUUAUGACGGUAUCUGACGAAUAAGCACCGGCUCACUCCGUGCCAGCAGCCGCGGUAAUACGGAGGGUGCCAGCGUUAUUCGGAAUCACUGGGCGUAAAGAGGGCGUAGGCGGGGUAAUAAGUCAGGUGUGAAAUCCUGUAGCUUAACUACAGAACUGCAUUUGAAACUGUUAAUCUGGAGUGUGGGAGAGGUAGGUGGAAUUCUUGGUGUAGAGGUAAAAUGCGUAGAGAUCAAGAGGAAUACUCAUUGCGAAGGCGGCCUACUGGAACGUUACUGACGCUGAUGCACGAAAGCGUGGGGAGCAAACAGGAUUAGAUACCCCGGUAGUC